rnacentral:rRNA from 1 species
CCCUUAGAUGUUCUGGGCCGCACGCGCGCUACACUGAUUCAUGCAACAAGUUUUGUCCUUGGCUGAUAGGCCUGGGUAAUCUUCGAACGUGAAUCGUGAUGGGGAUAGAUGAUUGCAAUUAUUCAUCUUCAACGAGGAAUUCCUAGUAAACGCAAGUCAUCAGCUUGCAUUGAUUACGUCCCUGCCCUUUGUACACACCGCCCGUCGCACCUACCGAUUGAAUGGUCCGGUGAAAUCUUCGGAUCUGAGAGAUGUCUGAUUAAUUUCGGACGCCUUUUGGAAAAGUUGUUUAAACCUUACCAUUUAGAGGAAGGUGAAGUCGUAACA